AUUGAACGCUGGCGGCAUGCCUUACACAUGCAAGUCGAACGGCAGCACGGACUUCGGUCUGGUGGCGAGUGGCGAACGGGCGAGUAAAGUAUCGGAACGUACCUUUCAGUGGGGGAUAACGUAGCGAAAGUUACGCUAAUACCGCAUAUUCUGUGAGCAGGAAAGCAGGGGAUCGCAAGACCUUGCGCUGAUUGAGCGGCCGAUAUCAGAUUAGCUAGUUGGUGAGGUAAAGGCUCACCAAGGCGACGAUCUGUAGCGGGUCUGAGAGGAUGAUCCGCCACACUGGAACUGAGACACGGUCCAGACUCCUACGGGAGGCAGCAGUGGGGAAUUUUGGACAAUGGGGGCAACCCUGAUCCAGCCAUGCCGCGUGAGUGGAGAAGGCCUUCGGGUUGUAAAGCUCUUUCGGCCGGGAAGAAAUCGUAUCAGCUAAUACCUGGUGCGGAUGACGGUACCGGCAUAAGAAGCACCGGCUAACUACGUGCCAGCCGCCGCUGUAAAAC
rnacentral:rRNA from 1 species